rnacentral:rRNA from 1 species
CACGUAGUUAGCCGGGGCUUCUUAGUCAGGUACCGUCAUUCUCUUCCCUGCUGAUAGAGCUUUACAUACCGAAAUACUUCUUCACUCACGCGGCGUUGCUGCAUCAGGGUUUCCCCCAUUGUGCAAUAUUCCCACUGCUGCCUCCCGUAGGAGUUUGGGCCGUGUCUCAGUCCCAAUGUGGCCGGCCACCCUCUCAGGUCGGCUACUGAUCGUCGCCUUGGUGGGCCGUUACCUCACCAACCAGCUAAUCAGACGCGGGUCCAUCUCAUACCACCGGAGUUUUUCACACCGGACCAUGCGGUCCUGUGCGCUUAUGCGGUAUUAGCAGUCAUUUCUAACUGUUACUCCCCCUGUACUGAGGCACGGUUACCCACGGUCGUUACUCCACCCGUCCGCCGCUCAGUCAUACACGUCUCCACUACCGUAAAACUUCCACUACUCUACGUCUUCGCUCGACUUGCAUCGUGUAACGCACGCCGCAGCGUUCACUC